CUGAAAUUGGCCAGAUUCAUGCCCUACGUGGCGACCAACCAUAAUGCCUUCCCUGUCGGCUGCUACGCCUUCCCUGUGGUGUUGAAAUCCACGCUCCUGGGACUGUGUGGACUUUGGGAGCCCAAUCCACAUAGAGGAAUUCUCCCUGAGCCAAGACCCACAGGGGUGGGCCUAGGCCCUAUCCCAAAGGAUAUGGAACGCCUCACCCUCCUGGGGAGGAGAAAGGAUAUGAGAUAGGCAGGGACCCUGUCCCAUCUGCACCUGCACUAUCGGAGUGUGGGUCCAACAGCUGUUCCAAGUCCUGGGAUUUGGACUGGAGAUCCAUUCCUCUCUCAGCUUGCCGAUAUGGUGCCAUCUGUAUUUCUUCACCCUCCUUAUUCUUCAAUUCAUGUCUUUCCAAAAGAUGAGAACCUCAACUUGACAGGGGUUGGGCAGAUAACUUAUGAAAAUCUCUCUUCUUUGUAGUUAUUGGGUAUGCUUUGAGAAGUUUCCUUUAUGCCUAUUUAGAGCUUUAUUUAUAUCUGUCCCCAUAAGCUCUUGAUGCUUGUAUAGUCAUGGAGUCACGUCAUCUAGUACAUUACCUAGUUAUUUUCAGUCUCUGCAAUAUAGUGACCUGUUUUUGUGUGUCGUUUGUAUGAUUAGUAUCUUAGCUUUACAUGUUCAGAUUGUACUGACAUACUUCACCUUAACCUAUAUCAAGAUAUAUAGCCAUUAAUUAAAACUGUGCCUGUAUCUCUAUUUCCAUGGUAAAUAGCAUAAUGUAAGAUGUGUGCAGGCACAUGAACAGGCACACACAUAUGUGCACAGACACACAAGUACAUGAACACAUACAUAUAUCCUCAUUCAUGUGCACCCAUACACAUGAACACAAUGCACACAUGUAUACAUCCACCUACCCAUCCACUCACAUACAAAUGUGCAUACAUACAUACCUACAAGUACAGAACAGAUACACACCUACACAGAAGUGCACACACAUGCACAUAGUGCAUUCUAUAUACAACAUGGCACAUGUCUACAUGUGCACAUGCAUAACCCACACCGAUGUAACCGUACACAUACAUUUGCACACAUAGACACAAACCCCUUCAUAUACCCACGUGCAUACCCACACAUAAAAAUCCACACACAGCAAUAUACAUGCACAUAUUCACACACAUACACAUACAAAUCAUGAGGCGUACACACAAUCAACACACAUUCAUGAACCAACACACAUGGGAACAUACACAAAGGUACUAAGAGUUUUCAUGUUGACAAUGUGAAGUAAAGCUUAGAAAGUAUCUAAAUCUCUAUACAGAUACCAAAACCAAGGACAUAGAAAAGGGCAGGAUAUCCAAGUGUCAAUAUGCAUGAAAAUAUUACAAUGGCAAAGCUAUGUAAAGCUAUGAAAUAUGAAGUAAACACUUCAAAUAGGAUACAAGGAGGAAUGGCUCAUAGAUUUUAAUUUUUACACCAUGUACCUCUUCAUAUGCUUCUGGACAUCAUAUCCAUGUGCCUUCUAUGUCAAUACUGCAGUCUUACCCUUUAGCUAAAGUGACAAUAUUUGUGCAUAUGACUGACGUUAGGAGUGUAGAGUAUUGUAUUCAGUCAAGUUUCCAAGACACAGAUGUUGAGAUUUGCCUGUGGGAGUCCCAGGAGCAUUUGUAAAUAAGAGAGGGAAACAGCAUUGGACCGAGGGGGAAGCUGAACUCACAUGAAUUCAUAAUGGCAGCUGUACAAGUCCCCUCCCUUUCCCUCAGGCCUGGAUGGUUUCCAGCUGUCCCUAGCUGGGGCAACUUUUCCAGAAGCUUGCCUUCCAGCUGACUACAGGCAGUGGUGUGACCUUAAGCAAGGUGGCUCCCUAUGCAGAGGUUGAUUCUGGUAUGUAACUCAGCCAUCAGCAGCAUGUACUCUUCUCUGGGAGGCUGAGCACUGGGCUAUGGGAUUGGAGGAUCUGGGUGGUGACAAUUUCCAAUGCAGUUACUAAAAAAUAGGCAGUUACUGAACCACAGGCAGUUAGAAUAAGUAAGACAGGAUGGGGUGGGGUGGUGGUGAACACAAAGUCAUUUGAGGAAGUCCUAAAAAAUAAGUUCACGGUAGCAACUUUGCAUGCUUUUAUUACCUACUUGUUCAUGGAUUCAGGGGACAUGUCUUGGAGGCCAUUUUUGUGUGGGUUGGUUUGUCACUUAAAGAGCUGAGCAGAGAGCUCAGAGGCCUUUGUUUUGUGUUAUUCAGAGAAGAAGAUAAUGAAACUAAGGAAAGAGUGAAGAGUUAGGAAAUGCCAGAAAGAGACAGAGCAGGGAAGCCUGGGAGGUUGUAAGGGUGAGCUAGCUGAGUUAGCUGAGGGAAGUCUUUUAGUAGACAGCUACUUUUCAUCUCCGUGCUACUGUUUUCAUCCUUGGUCAGAGCUGAAUCCAUUAACUUCCUACCAGGAAGCUGUGUGGGGUAAUACGGGAAGGUGUGAGAAUCCUUGCUGUGGUUUCUACUUGCCCAAGUUCAGGAUUUUUUUUUUUCUACAAUUCAUUACUAAUAGGACCUUAGGUCAUACACAUAACAAACCUAAGCCUUUUUUUUUUUUUUAACUCAUCUUCAAAAUGGAUGUGACAUUACUUUGCAGGGUUGUUAGGAGUGUCAUUAAUAACUUGAAACAAAGAUUGUAACCACAGAAGUUAGAGGCUCAGGGUCAGUGGUCUCCCAAGCCAGAAAAAGCCAAUCAGACUGUGGAAAUAAUGUCAUGUGUGUGACAACUCCUAAUCAUCAUUUUAAAGGAAGAAUUUUGUAUUGUUUAUUUGAAUAAAAGACAAACAAGGAAGAUGGUUGGGUCAUAGACUAUAAUAAAAUGUGAGAAAUGGAUAUUUAUGUAUAUAUGUGUUUUAGCCAUCAACACAUAGAGGAGAGGCAGUUGGUAUUUGGACAACACAGCUUCGUUGACAUUGGGGUGAGGUGUUGGAUACCCAUCUGCAAAAGCACAUUUUUUUUUCAAAUUUAAUUAGAUAAUCAGGCUGAAGCCCUUGACAUUACAAAUCAAUAGAUGAUAGGGCCCGAUUGACACAUGGGAAUCCUUGUGUGUCACAUACCUUCAUAUUUGUGGUGGUCAAUUAUAUCACUUGAUUUAUAAAACAUCUUGGCGAGACAGAGAUUUUAUGUUACACACACACACACACACACACACACACACACACACACACAC
rnacentral:lncRNA from 1 species